rnacentral:lncRNA from 1 species
AAAACCUGUAUUAAAAUAUACAUUAUUAGUCUCCAGUCGAGAAAGGAGAGCCACACAGUAAUUUGAACAGGGACAGUUUAAUACUACAAAGAAUGGGCUGAGUGUGGGCUGAAAUCGCAGUGCUUUGGGAGGCUGAGGUGGGAGGAUCACAUGAGCCGGGGAGGUCGAGGCUGCAGAGGUGGGAGGAUCACAUGAGCCUGGGAGGUCGAGGCUGCAGAGGUGGGAGGAUCACAUGAGCCGGGGAGGUCGAGGCUGCAGAGGUGGGAGGAUCACAUGAGCCGGGGAGGUCGAGGCUGCAGAGGUGGGAGGAUCACAUGAGCCGGGGAGGUCGAGGCUGCAGCGAGCUGUGGUUGCACCACUGCACUUCAGCCUGGGCCACAGAGUCAUACCUUGCCUCUAAGAAAAGAUAAUGCAAACAAACAAACAAAAAAUUUAAAAAAUCAUUAGGGAAAGGAAAAGAAUGUCACAGGCUAUGGGAGUAAUGAGGCACUGGUUGGGAUGAGUAAAAAGAACUCUGCAGAGUGUAGGGACAGCAGGCACAGGAGCAGCCGCCACCCAGGGCCGGGGCAGAGCCCCCCAGCUACAGUCACUGCCACCCAGGGCUGAGGUCUGCACCAGCUGCAAACGGCGUGGUGGGGACACCACCGUGCUGUCAGGGCUUGUGGGGAACCUGCCUCCUGGCUGCCAGGAAAGCUAUUCUGUUGCAGGACACUUGGCAGAGGCACCCCUAGAGAACAGCUACCCGAAUGGGGUCGGGGAAGCCCCUGGCUCUGGCUACAGUGGGCAGGAUGCUCCCUGGAGUAGGUACUGGGGAGACUGCAGGUGUCGGAGGGCCCUGCAGAGAGUGGUCAGAACCAGGAGGCAAACCUCUUCCUGCUGUGUUCACUCCUCGGCUCCCUCUGCUGAUGACACGCAGCAUUGUGGAGGAAGAGCCUGCUAAGGGCCCAGCUCUGUUUCUACAGGGCAAGUAAAAAGGAUGGACUUAGAGCUGAGGGGCUCUACGUUAAUACCUGGCACAGCAGCUGAUUCUCCUCCAG